CUCGUAGGCGGUUCGUCGCGUCCGGUGUGAAAGUCCAUCGCCUAACGGUGGAUCUGCGCCGGGUACGGGCGGGCUGGAGUGCGGUAGGGGAGACUGGAAUUCCCGGUGUAACGGUGGAAUGUGUAGAUAUCGGGAAGAACACCAAUGGCGAAGGCAGGUCUCUGGGCCGUUACUGACGCUGAGGAGCGAAAGCGUGGGGAGCGAACAA
rnacentral:rRNA from 1 species